CCCUCAGCCUGCCACGCUCCGCCUCCACAGACUCACGUGACUCGCCGUCUGCCGCCGUCUGAGUCCACUUGAGAGAGCCCCCCGGGCGCCGCCUCUUCUCCGGAUAAUGCCCAGCUGCCUGCUGGAUGGGUAAUCUAUUUUAAUAUUGGAACUUUGUCUUCAACAGUGACUGUCAUCAGCUCGCAUGUGAAUGUGACUUACUGGUGUAAGAGCCACGUGAGCAGCUGUGAGCUGUCGCCCAGAGGACGAUCAGUGGGAACACGACUGGGGAGAGACUGUGUCCCUCACGACAGGGCAGACUAUGCCGCUGCAACAAAUGCUACCAAACUCCCAGUGAUUGACACACGGACAGACUCCAGGGAAGCUGGCCUCGGUGAUUGUCUUUCUAGCCUGCUUUAUCCUUGCACAGCUCCCCGAGCGCACAGCAGGAAAGGGAGCAGAAGAAUUGGACACAAACCCCAGUGCCUUCACUCACCAGUGACCCAAGGCUUUUUUCAGUUUCACUAUUUAAAAGGAGUUAUGUUAAGUUCAGACUUUAAGGAGUUAUGCGCUCAACAGGAAGAGGAAAGUAGAGAGUUUGUGACUGUGGAUGAUAACAUCACCCACAGGGAUCCAUUUAGAGGAAGUCGGGGAUAAAAUUAAACUAAAAAGAGCUUAGCUACAGCAGGAGGUUAGCAGAAAUGACCAGUUGGGUGACUGCAGUACUGUGUGGCAUUUUUGGGGGAGUGGGGCACUAAUGUCAUGCUGUUGUCAUACAGUAUUAUCAAGAGGAACACUUGUCAGUGCACUCCAGGUCAGUCUACUCCAGGCAUUGACUAUCCAGACGCAUCUACCAUGUACUGUCCUGGUUGUUCCCCAGGUAGUGUACCCACCUUAAAUGCCUUAAAUGUGUAAGGCUACAACAACACAAGACAACUUUCUAAUUUUGAUUGCAAUUAUGGUAUUUUUUAAAAUCUUGGAUGAAUCUGUGUAUAUAAAGAAUGAAAUCUUAAAACAAAAAAAAUGGAGGAAGGUCAUCAGGAUAAAAUUAUCCCAGGUCAUCACAUGAUUGUUUAAACUAUACCGUUGACCAAGAAUUCUCUGGUCAUGUUCAUGGGAACAUUGUAUUACAGCAUUUCAAGUUAAAAAGAAGUUCACAAAUGAGGAAAAUAAAUUGCUUUUCAGAAAACCUUGGGGGUUUUGCUAAAUGCCUAAAAUUGUAUUAGCUAAAUCUACCACGUAUAUCUUCCCAUACUUCAUAUAUUUAUGAGAUAAACACUAACGCCUGUUGUAAAAUCUAGAGUGCAAUGCAGGUAUAAGAUAUUAUAUGCUGCAGGGUACUGAGUCAUGGUUCUGGUUUCAAUCUUGUGUAGUCUCUGAAUACAUGGGUCAAUGACUUCACUGUAUAGAACUAUUUCCCAGUAUAUGCCUUUGUAAAAUACGACCAUUCCCUAAUAUUCUGACAGCUUCUACUACACAUUUCUACAAAUAUCCAUCACACAGGGCUCUAAAGGAGACACAGAGUCUAUUAAGUUGUGAACUUUUUGCUCAGUCCCUUCUCUGUCUGACUGAUUCCCACCCUCCUCGAGUCUUUGCUGAGUUGUAAUAUUGUCUUAGAUAUGAUUUGUAACCUCAGGAGAUAUGCUGUAGAGAGUCACUUAUAAAUACAUGGCUGAUAAGAACAAGACUGAGAAGAAGGUGCUCAGUACCAGGAGCUGACGGUCUUUGUCAGGAUGGAGAGUCAAAGUGCCGUCAGAUGACAGUGUGUUGGGAUCACUGCCUGCUGUUGUCUGCAGCUUCCAGUCCACCGGCUGCAAAGCAUGUCUGGAUUCCUAGGAGCAAAUGUUUGUGAUUUGGCUAAAAAGUGUCAGGAAGUCCAGUGUAAGUGUCUCCCUAGCUUCUAUAUUUGAUCACAACCAACUCUGAUGCCCACAUAAAAAAACAGAAUGGAAGAGGAAAUGUGCUCAUUAUAUAAUGUGUUUAUGAAACAUAGGCUUUGUUUAAAGUGUAAGGAAGGACCCAAAGUCAUUCUGUAUCAGAAGUGUUUAUCAUUUUAUGACACGCUGGAAAUAAAGUCACAUAC